UCUAGAAAAGGAAAAAAAAAAAAAGAACAAUCUAGAGGUUGGGAGAAUUCUAGAAAGAAAUUAUAGGUAGCUUAGUCAAGAAGAAUCAUAUUAAAAAGUAUAAUUAUUUAUAUCUUAUAUCAUAUGUCUCAUAGUUCAAUAUGUGUAUAUAUAUUUUAAUUUAUUUUCAUCCUUUAAAUGUGAAUAUGAUUUAUAUGUGUUCGAGAAUACUUGCUGCCCACCAUGUGUGACCGAUUCUUGGGUAUAUACUACUAUGAGGACGAAUAAUAUGUACUACCAGUUUUCACACUACUGCACAACACAAUUUACUUUUAGGAAAAUGCUAAACAUCUAUGUACACAUUUAAAGAGCCGACCUCCUUCAAUAGACUUUUGCCAAAUCGGCUCAUUUUCUUCUUUCUUUCUUUCCUUCUUUUUUUUUUUUUAAUUUUUAAUUUUUUCCCUUUUAUUAUUAUGAUAAAAAUUGAAAGAUCUGGAGAAAGGGGCUAACCUUGCAAAAAAACCCAGUUUUUUUUUAAAAAAAUAAACAAAACCAAGAUUUUCCUCGCAGAGAGCAUGCUAAAUUUACUCUACAGGGAGACUGAGUUAGUAAGCGAGGGAGACCAUCGGAUUGAGAUCAAAGAAAGCCGUCGUUACGCCCCGGCAGGAAAUUAUGAUCGCGUGAUCGAAAUUCCAAUAUCUGGCCACCUGAAUAUUCCUGCAACAUACUUUCACGAUCGCAGUAUUCUGUCAGGAAGGGCUACUGUCUUGAAGAUCUUUAUUAAUGGAGAUGAUAGUGGAGAAGUCUUGAACCCACAACAUUUUGUUCACUUCUCAAGACUCAUAUUCAGUGUUGAACCCGACACUGGUUGCUUGGUUAUUAGAGGAGUGAGAGCUAGACUGACGGAUUUCGGCAGGCUCAGGGGCUUGGGAUGGCUUCUUAGAAGAUAUUCCCAAGGAAGGCAGGAUGAAAAGAUCAUAUGACUUAUGAUCAUUACUGAACCCCGGGCCUUCUUUUUGCAGAACCUGAGUUGAAAUUAGCACCUCUAUCUUGGGGGAUUCUGCGCUUGUGCUUAUGAUACUAUAUUGUUGUUCCCUGAAUCUUUUGAACUCAUAUUGUUGUGCUCUUUUGAAUAUUAUGUCAUGCUUUGGUUAUAUGAAAGACUUAUAUACUUGGUGUCUAAUUUUUCUCCUUGUACCUGCAAAACAUAUCUAUUUUACAUUAGUUCGCAAUAUGUUGAUUAAAUUUUUUA